GAAAUGCGAUAAGUAAUGUGAAUUGCAGAAUUCAGUGAAUCAUCGAAUCUUUGAACGCACCUUGCGCUCCUUGGUAUUCCGAGGAGCAUGCCUGUUUGAGUGUCAUUAAUAUAUAUAUAUCAAACUUCUCUUGUUGAGUGGUUUGGAUGUGGGGGUUUUGCUGGCCUCUUGAAGGGUUCAGCUCCCCUGAAAUGCAUUAGCAGAACAACCCUGUUCAUUGGUGUGAUAACUAUCUACGCUAUUGAAUGUGAGGGGCAGUUCAGCUUUCUAACAGUCCUUGGACAAUUCAUCAUUAAUGUGACCUCAAAUCAGGUAGGACUACCCGCUGAACUUAA
rnacentral:misc_RNA from 1 species